GGAUGCGAUCAUACCAGCACUAAAGCACCAGAUCCCAUCAGAACUCCGAAGUUAAGCGUGCUUGGGCGAGAGUAGUACUAGGAUGGGUGACCUCCUGGGAAGUCCUCGUGUUGUAUUCC
rnacentral:rRNA from 1 species